rnacentral:tRNA from 1 species
UCCCUGGUAGCUCAGAUGGUAAAGUGUCUACCUACAAUGUGGGAGACUCAGGUUCAGUUCCUGGGCUGGGAA